rnacentral:tRNA from 2 species
GUGGGAUUGUCCGAGUGGUCGAAGGAGGCAGACUGUAAAUCUGUUAUAUCACGCACUGGUUCGAAUCCAGUAUCCCACACCA